GUGUCAGCAGCCGCGGUAAUACGGAGGGUGCAAGCGUUGUUCGGAAUCACUGGGCGUAAAGCGCGUGUAGGCGGUUUUUUAAGUCGGAUGUGAAAUCCCUCGGCUCAACCGAGGACGUGCAUCCGAUACUGGAAAACUAGAGUACCGGAGGGGAUGGUGGAAUUCCUGGUGUAGAGGUGAAAUUCGUAGAUAUCAGGAGGAACAUCAGGGGCGAAGGCGACCAUCUGGAAGGUAACUGACGCUGAGACGCGAAAGCGUGGGGAGCAAACAGGAUUAGAUACCCCUGUAGUCCUG
rnacentral:rRNA from 1 species